CCCGUACUGAAGCUGGCAAGCUGCGACUGUACUCUGGAGUCGGCUUAUAAAUGGGUCAUCUGAGUCCCUCAGAGAGAUCCUGUUUGAGGAAAUGUGUCCUUCACGUCACAAGCAGACAGAUGGUUGGCUCAGGUCUAAGGUCUAUCUGCUUCUGAGUAUCCUGUUUCAAGACCUGCCAGCAUGAGAUACUUCAGAGGAAGGUGUAAGAACCUGCAGAAGCUAAAUGGGGCAUAAUUUGCCUCCUACAUUAGGCCUCAAGAUGAUCUCUAAUCGAGAUUGCCUUAAUCCCUGAAGCCUGAGGUUUAACAGCCUUUUCAAAUUAGCAUAAUAAAUUCUGAUAACUCUGUAUUUCUUUAUAGAUGUACAAAUAUCCAAUCCCUUUUUGAAUAUGAUAAUUUGUUUACCUAAUCUGGGCUGGGGAAUCCAACUACAGAAUGACAGAAUGUUUGGAUCAGGAGAUGAAUUCUUUCUAAAUCUGGAAGUUUAGAUUUAACAUUUUAGUUCAAACCCUCUUUAGUUUCAUUGUGUCCCUUCUGUAUAGCCUAUGGAUUGGUUACAACAGUGAAAAUAAUAUAUACUAUAAAGAUAUCUGAUGUGUGUCAAUGUUGGCGUUCUUUUACA